UACGGGGGGGCAAGCGUUGUUCGGAAUUACUGGGCGUAAAGGCUCGUAGGCGGCCAACUAAGUCAGACGUGAAAUCCCUCGGCUUAACCGGGGAACUGCGUCUGAUACUGGAUGGCUUGAGGUUGGGAGAGGGAUGCGGAAUUCCGAGGUGUAGCGGUGAAAUGCGUAGAUAUCUGGAGGAACACCGGUGGCGAAGGCGGCAUCCUGGACCAAUUCUGACGCUGAGGAGCGAAAGCCAGGGAGC
rnacentral:rRNA from 1 species